AGCAAGAGAAGGGCGUAUGGGGGAUGCCUAGGCUCCCAGAGGCGAGGAAGGACGUGAUAAGCUGCGAAAAGCCGCGGGGAUCUGCACACGAGAUUUGAUCCGCGGAUGUCCGAAUGGGGCAACCCGGCUGGUUGAAGGCCAGUCAUCCCGAUUUAUCGGGAAGCUAACCCGCUGAACUGAAACAUCUAAGUAGGCGGAGGAAGAGAAAACAAGAGUGAUUCCGUUAGUAGUGGCGAGCGAAAGCGGACUAGUCCAAACCAAUGUUGUUUCGGCAACAUUGGGGUUGUAGGACCACGAUAUUCUUUGCGUCGGCCAACUGGAACCCUUUGGAAAGAGGGGCCGUAGACGGUGAUAGCCCGGUACAGGCAAGUUGCGUCAAAGAUAGUGGUAUCCUGAGUAGCGCGGGGCACGUGAAACCCUGUGUGAAUCCGGCGGGACCAUCCGCCAAGACUAAAUACUCCUGAGAGACCGAUA
rnacentral:rRNA from 1 species